ensembl:lncRNA
GGUUGUUUGGGUUCAUACUCUGGCGCACAUCAGAAUCUGACCUUGCCGCGGCUUCUUUGCAAAACUUAAGCGCACACCAAAGUUUUGCAAGAAAGUCAUGACAGAGUUCUACGAAGGUGUGGAAUGUUGUGAAACAUCUGGAAUUUGGCUGCAUCAAGAGAAUCAGUGACGGUGGGGCUGCGGGGUGUGGCGCUUUGGGCAUGAAAGUGUCAAGAGAGACAGAAGGAGACGUUUUGGCAGAGAGUUUUGGAGACAUUGCUGCAGGGCUGAGCUCACCUUUGGUUCCUCAUGGCGUAUGCUGCUUACUGGAUGAGUCUUUCGCAGCCGAGUCAGGAAACACCCAAACCGGCACCUCAGGUCUCUGCUGGGAAGCCUGCGCAGUUUGAGACUGCAUCCCAAGUCAAGAGCAAGGCUACAGUUCCUUCUCCUGCAGCUGGAUUGGCAGCUGCCGCUGGUACGGCAGCAGCACCGUCCUCUACAAAACCUAAAGAGUCGCUCAAAGACUCAGCUAAGGUUCAGGUGGAAGUUUCCUCUGUAGCAUCAGUAGCCAAACAGGCUCUUUCUACAGAUCCCUUGGACGCCUUGGCCAGCAGCCUACCUGCACCUGACCCUAUUGCCCCCUCACAGCCGUCUUUCACUGGCCCAGAGGUCAAAGAGGUAAACCAGACAGCUCUUGCUUGUGUUUGUUUGUGUGCUGCAUGGAUUUGGUGUGUUUUAACGUGUGCUGCAUGUGUCCCAGCAUGACAUCAAAGCUGAAAAAGGUCACAAGUGUGGAGAACAUGAGAGCACGCUGCCUCCAGACUACAGAUUUAAAAAUGUGGUCAGUUUGUCACAUUCUCUGUUUCCCCUUUUCUUGCUGUGUUUCUGUGCUUAUGUCAUUUUGACCUGGAUGGCAAGAAGGUUUAGAGGGAACAAAGUUUUUUUUUUUUUUUUUUGUAAAGGUUAUCAACUCUGCAAGCUUUAAAAGACAGCUCUGCUGUCAUUGUGGAGGUGAUUUAAGCCAAAUACAUUUAAACUCCAGAUUGGGGGUCUGUACAUUAUAAAGAGUCAUUCAGGUGGAUUUUUUGCCAACCAAAACCCAGUAGGAGCCACAAAGUCUUCACUCACCCUUUAGAAAAAUAAUAUACUAAUUUAUAUUUAUGUUUUUGCUUCUGACACAAUGCAUUUAAAUAAAGUAUUGCCUUUUUUGGCAUAAAUAAAACACAGACAUGAAGAGAAAAUAGCAAUUAAAAAAAAAAUAUGAAAUAGUUUAUAACUUUUGACAGAGUUUUACAUGACUGCCUUUCAAAAUAAAAUACAUCCUAUCCCACAGGAUCGUGCCAAUGCAGCAAAUGCACGAAGAAGUAUAAAGUAAUCAAUGAUUAAAAAAAAAAAUGUUUAUCUUACUGUUUCUGGUGCAUUUCAGAAACAAAUUCAUAAAUAUAACCAACAAAAACUAAAUCAGAGCUAAUUAAGUGACCCCUACCAUAUAUUAAAACCAUGAGACACACUUUAAAUCCUUGAAUUUGUUCAAAUAUAGAAAAUCUGCAUAAUAAUCAAGUGGAUUAUAACUUAAUGUAGCUUUUAUUCUGGUUUUGCUUACUUACAAUAAAUACAUUUUCUGUGAUAAAUAAGGCUCAAAAUUAAGUCCAAAUGAGUCAGUAUGACGACAAACUACAAAGGAUUGAUUGCAAAUUACGGCUACUAUUGUUAGGAUCCUUGUUGAAUGAUUUAUACCGUCCUUCAACUAUUUGUGAAUGACUUGAAUAAAGUUUAAGUAAAUUAACUUUUUUCUCACUUUACUACUUACUUUUUCUUUUACAGUUACUUUAAGAAAUGUUUUUAAACAUUUAAUUUUAUGUUUUACAUCGCUAAAGUUUAUUAGUUUGAUCAAAAAUUUUGAUUUUUGGAUAUAGUUGAAGACAAACCCCAACAUUCAGAAUAAACUAAAACCAUCAUUUUAUAAGCAAUAUCCUUAGUUAUUUACAAGCAAGCCACCUUCUGGUAUUACUUAUUCUCUCUAAUUAUUUACACUUUUGUUUUGUCAUUCUU